UUCGUGAAGUGACCUUUCGAUUGUGACUUUUCAUUUGAUCAUAACUACCAAAUAGUUAUAUGAAUCAAGUUCAAUGAAUAUAACCAUUGAUUCCAACGGGCAUAUGUACGAAGAGACACACUAUAAAGAUGUGUCUUUUCAUAUCAUAUUCUUUCACUAAAAGUCACAUCCUUUCACUUUAAGAGUCAUACCCUUUGAUUAGAGUUGCAUCCACUCACUAAGGGUUGCAUCCAUUCACUAAGAGUUGCAUCCAUUCAUUAAGGAUUGCAUCCUUUCACGAAGAAUCACAUCCAUUCACUAAAAACAAUAAACAAAAUAUAUUAUUUUAAAAUUUUCCUUACAAAAAAAACACAGAUAGAAAACAAAUUAUAUAUAAUUUAAGACAUUAAUUAAAUAUAAAAAUAUUUUUGAAAUAAUAGUAUUAAUGUUAGACAUAUGUAACAAAUAAUAAUAAUAAUAAUAAUAAUAAGUAUAACAUUAUAGUGUAGGU
rnacentral:lncRNA from 1 species